UACACGUUAUAAUCAUAAAUGUUGAAUUUAGCCGUCAUUGGGAUUGCAUCAGGGGUCUGGGGUCAAGGUCAAUGUUACUUAAAACUAGAGAUACAGUUUUCGCUCAAUAACUUCAGUUAGGAAUGAUGAAUAGUGAUGAAACUUAGAGUAUUGUAAGAUCAUUUGGAGAGCUUCAUCGGUAAGACAUUUUAGGUAUGUGGGGUCAAUGUAAAGGCCGAUGUUACUUAAACAGAAGAACAACUUCCGCUCAAUAAUUGUAGUAAUAUAUGAUGUGUUUAUAUAGUGAUGAACUUUAUAUUGAGAUUGCAUUCGGUUAGUUUCGGUUUCCCAUAAUCCUUUGCGAGCGCAUGACUUCCGGUAAAUGUCUACCCUAGAUAUCGAUAAUGUAUGUGUGUGAUGUUGACCAGUGAAAAGGAGAGCAUAAGUGGCAAAAUAAAUUGAUAGAGAUGUUCAUUGUGUCUGUUUGAGUCUGCCAAGUUGAUGCUGAACAGGAGUAGGCAGUUAAUACCAUUGAUCUGAUAGCAGCUAUAUCAGUGGUUUUACAAGAUAUUUUUGUGCAAAACACAAGAGACUGAAUUCGGUUCAAGAGCGGAGAUAAAAUAAAUGAAGUGUGUCAAUAUGAAUGAAAACUUUCCUUGACUCCAAGGACUAAAGAAAAAGAUAACAGCCGAACAAGCUAGAGAUUUUUCAAAAAGAAGCAAGAUGGGGGUUUUUAACCCUUGGCAAAUGAACCUUUAAAGGGAUUAUUUCAUACCAAGGACAAUUUUUAUUGUUAUUUAAUUAUAUAAUGGUAUUAUUAAAUUGUAAAAAAUGC